GAGUAAUGUCUGGGAAACUGCCUGAUGGAGGGGGAUAACUACUGGAAACGGUGGCUAAUACCGCAUAACGUCGCAAGACCAAAGAGGGGGACCUUCGGGCCUCUUGCCAUCAGAUGUGCCCAGAUGGGAUUAGCUUGUUGGUGAGGUAACGGCUCACCAAGGCGACGAUCCCUAGCUGGUCUGAGAGGAUGACCAGCCACACUGGAACUGAGACACGGUCCAGACUCCUACGGGAGGCAGCAGUGGGGAAUAUUGCACAAUGGGCGCAAGCCUGAUGCAGCCAUGCCGCGUGUAUGAAGAAGGCCUUCGGGUUGUAAAGUACUUUCAGCGGGGAGGAAGGUGUUGUGGUUAAUAACCGCAGCAAUUGACGUUACCCGCAGAAGAAGCACCGGCUAACUCCGUGCCAGCAGCCGCGGUAAUACGGAGGGUGCAAGCGUUAAUCGGAAUUACUGGGCGUAAAGCGCACGCAGGCGGUCUGUCAAGUCGGAUGUGAAAUCCCCGGGCUCAACCUGGGAACUGCAUUCGAAACUGGCAGGCUUGAGUCUUGUAGAGGGGGGUAGAAUUCCAGGUGUAGCGGUGAAAUGCGU
rnacentral:rRNA from 1 species